rnacentral:rRNA from 1 species
AUUGAACGCUGGCGGCAGGCCUAACACAUGCAAGUCGAACGAGUGGCGGACGGGUGAGUAAUGUCUGGGAAACUGCCUGUUGGAGGGGGAUAACUUCUGGAAACGGUAGCUAAUACCGCAUACCAUCAGAUGUGCCCAGAUGGGAUUAGCUAGGUGGUGGGGUAACGGCGCACCAAGGCGACGAUCCCUAGCUGGUCUGAGAGGAUGACCAGCAACACUGGAACGGGGAAGCGGUCGAGACUCCUAAGGGAGGCAGCAGUGGGGAAUAUUGCAGAAUGGGCGCAAGCCUGAUGCGGCCAUGGCGCGUGUAUGAAGAAGGCCUUCGGGUUGUAAAGUACUUUCAGCGGGGAGGCGUUACCCGCAGAAGAAGCACCGGCUAACUCCGUGCCAGCAGCCGCGGUAAUUC